GACGAACGCUGGCGGCGUGCUUAACACAUGCAAGUCGAACGGAAAGGCCCUGCUUUUGUGGGGUGCUCGAGUGGCGAACGGGUGAGUAACACGUGAGUAACCUGCCCUUGACUUUGGGAUAACUUCAAGAAACUGGGGCUACUACCGGAUAGGAGCUCCUGCUGCAUGGUGGGGGUUGGACAUUUUCGGCGGUUGGGGAUGGACUCGCGGCUUAUCAGCUUGUUGGUGGGGUAGUGGCUUACCAAGGCUUUGACGGGUAGCCGGCCUGAGAGGCUGACCGGUAACAUUGGGACUGAGAUACGGACCAGACUGCUACGGGAGGCAGCAGUGGGGAAUAUUGCACAAUGGGCGGAAGCCUGAGGCAGCAACGCCGGGUGCGGGAUGACGGCCUGCGGGUUGUAAAACGCUGUCGCCUGUGACGAAGCGUGAGUGACGGUAAUGGGUAAAGAAGCACCGGCUAACUACGUG
rnacentral:rRNA from 1 species